AUACAGAGGGUGCAAGCGUUGUUCGGAAUUAUUGGGCGUAAAGCGCGCGCAGGCGGGAUUGCAAGUCGGAUGUGAAAGCCCUCGGCUCAACCGAGGAAGUGCGUUCGAAACUGCAGUUCUUGAGUGUCGGAGAGGGUGGCGGAAUUCCUGGUGUAGAGGUGAAAUUCGUAGAUAUCAGGAGGAACACCAGAGGCGAAGGCGGCCACCUGGACGAACACUGACGCUGAGGCGCGAAAGCGUGGGGAGCAAACAGGAUUAGAUACCCUGGUAGUCCACGCCGUAAACGAUGAGAGCUAGCUGUUGCGGGUGUUGACCCCUGCAGUGGCGCAGCUAACGCAUUAAGCUCUCCGCCUGGGAAGUACGGCCGCAAGGCUAAA
rnacentral:rRNA from 1 species